GGGGCUUCUGGUGCCAGGAGCGACUCAAUAAGGACAGUGAUGCCCAGUGUCAAAAGCUGAGAGGGAACAGAUUGGACUCUGGCACUUUCCCCUGAGGCAGGCAAACAUCCAACUCCAGUUAUGGGGACUGGAGACCAUGGGAGCAGGGCCCGAAGAGAAUUGGCCUCCCCCUGCGUGGGAGAUGGAAAACACGCCCGCGACGUUUUGCUGCUCCUUCCAUCCGGAGCCAGUCUGUUCCUCACCCCUCAAAGCUGGGCUGGCCCCGUGACUGCGCUGACCUACGGACUGUGAUGGAAGGUGGCAUGAUACAAGUGGCAGAGCCCAGGCCUUCAUCCUCUCAGAACCCUGAGCCACCGUGCCGGGAAGGAGCCAGGGAUGCAGGGCCACGUGAGAGAGAGGCUUGGCGCCCAGCCAUUGCCGCCACCCCAGCUGAGCCCAGCAUCCAGUGAACGCAGUCACCUGAGCGAACCCAGACAAGACCAGUGGAAGGACUGCCCGGCCAACCCGCGGAACUGGG
rnacentral:lncRNA from 1 species